rnacentral:rRNA from 1 species
AUUGAACGCUGGCGGCAUGCCUAACACAUGCAAGUCGAGCGCCCCGCAAGGGGAGCGGCAGACGGGUGAGUAACACGUGGGAACCUACCCUUUUCUGCGGGAUAGCUCUGGGAAACUGGAAUUAAUACCGCAUACGCCCUACGGGGGAAAGAUUUAUCGGAGAAGGAUGGGCCCGGGUUGGAUUAGCUAGUUGGUGGGGUAAUGGCCUACCAAGGCGACGAUCCAUAGCUGGUCUGAGAGGAUGAGCAGCCACAUUGGGACUUAGACACGGCCCAAACUCCUACGGGCGGCAGCAGUGGGUGAUAUUGGACAAUGGGGGCAACCCUGAUCCAGCCAUGCCGCGUGCGUUAUGAAGGCCUUAGGGUUGUAAAGCUCUUUCACCGGUGAAGAUAAUGACGGUAACCGGAGAAGAAGCCCCGGCUAACUUCGUGCCAGCCGCCGCCGUAAUAC